rnacentral:rRNA from 1 species
ACGUAGGGGGCAAGCGUUGUCCGGAUUUAUUGGGCGUAAAGAGCGUGUAGGCGGCUUUACAGGUCCGUUGUGAAAACUCGAGGCUCAACCUCGAGACGCCGGUGGAAACCGUAAAGCUAGAGUCCGGAAGAGGAGAGUGGAAUUCCUGGUGUAGCGGUGAAAUGCGCAGAUAUCAGGAAGAACACCCGUGGCGAAGGCGGCUCUCUGGGACGGUACUGACGCUGAGACGCGAAAGCGUGGGGAGCGAACAGGA